GCAGUUAUAUAUCAUAUUAAACAAGCCAAGGCCAAGCAAGUUGAAACAAAACGUGAAGGUAAAAUACAUGCAUGUCAGUGACUGUAAGACUAGUGGAAGGAAAGAAGUUGUACCAGUAGCCAUAGCUUGAGGCAAGAACAUGUACAACAAGAAGAACAGCUGAGUCGUCAGGCCUUAUACGAAGACCUGACUGCUCUUGAAGAGAAUAUUGCCCCCACCUGCUGCACUGGGGAUGCUUGCAACACCUCCUCCAGGAUAAAACAGCUCAGAGCUUUGAACUACAGCACCUUCGAAGCUCAACAACGACUAACUCCUCACUCGCCGGAAAACCAACUUCUGUACUGACUGUGUUUGGGAGAGAAAGUAGAGAGG
rnacentral:lncRNA from 1 species